AUGAACGCUGGCGGCGUGCCUAACACAUGCAAGUCGAACGAAGCGUCCCGCCCGAAGAAGAGGAGAGCUUGCUCAAAUCGGACUCAAUUGGGACGACUUAGUGGCGGACGGGUGAGUAACGCGUGGGUAACCUGCCGUGUGCAGGGGGAUAACAGUUAGAAAUGACUGCUAAUACCGCAUAAGCGCACAGUAUCGCAUGAUACAGUGUGAAAAGCCGAGACGGCACACGAUGGACCCGCGUCUGAUUAGCCAGUUGGCAGGGUAACGGCCUACCAAAGCGACGAUCAGUAGCCGGCCUGAGAGGGUGAACGGCCACAUUGGGACUGAGACACGGCCCAAACUCCUACGGGAGGCAGCAGUGGGGGAUAUUGCACAAUGGGGGAAACCCUGAUGCAAGCGACGCCGCGUGAGUGAAGAAGUAUUUCGGUAUGUAAAGCUCUAUCAGCAGGGAAGAAAAUGACGGUACCUGACUAAGAAGCUCCGGCUAAAUACGUGCCAGCCGCCGC
rnacentral:rRNA from 1 species